GCCUAUGGCCAUACUACCCUGAACAUGCCCGAUCUCGUCUGAUCUCGGAAGCUAAGCAGGGUCAGGCCUGGUUAGUACUUGGAUGGGAGACCACCUGGGAAUGCCAGGGGGCUGUAGGCU